UACGUAGGGGGCAAGCGUUGUCCGGAAUUACUGGGCUUAAAGGGUGCGUAGGCGGUAGCAGCAGUCGGGUGUAGAAUCCUCCAGCUCAACUGGAGAAUUGCGCCCGAAACUGCUGUGCUUGAGAAAGAUAGAGGUACGCGGAACUUAGGGUGGAGCGGUGAAAUGCGUUGAUAUCCUAAGGAACACCGGUGGCGAAGGCGGGUCUCUGGACAGUUCCUGACGCUGAGGCACGAAGGUCAGGGGAGCGAAACGGG
rnacentral:rRNA from 1 species